AAUGAACGCUGGCGGCGGGCUUAACACAUGCAAGUCGAACGGGUGUAGCAAUACAUCAGUGGCAGACGGGUGAGUAACACGUGGGAACCUUCCUAGGGGUACGGAACAACUCAGGGAAACUUGAGCUAAUACCGUAUACGUCCGUGAGGAGAAAGAUUUAUCGCCCUUAGACGGGCCCGCGUCGGAUUAGGUAGUUGGUGGGGUAACGGCCUACCAAGCCUACGAUCCGUAGCUGAUCUGAGAGGAUGAUCAGCCACACUGGGACUGAGACACGGCCCAGACUCUUACGGGAGGCAGCAGUGGGGAAUCUUGGACAAUGGGCGAAAGCCUGAUCCAGCCAUGCCGCGUGAGUGAAGAAGGCCUUAGGGUUGUAAAGCUCUUUUGCCAGGGACGAUAAUGACGGUACCUGGAGAAUAAGCCCCGGCAAACUUCGUGCCAGCCGCCGCCGUAAGAC
rnacentral:rRNA from 1 species